GGAGGUAAAAGUCGUAACAAGGUCUCCGUAGGUGAACCUGCGGAGGGAUCAUUACAGAGUUCUCGCCCUCACGGGUAGAUCUCCCACCCACUGUUAUCGUUACUGUCGUUUCUUUGGCGGGCCGCCGGGUCCCCGGCCGCCGGCGCCUAGCUGCCGGCGCGCGCCCGCCAGAGGCCUUCAAACUCUGAAUGUUAGUGUCGUCUGAGUACUAUAUAAUAGUUAAAACUUUCAACAACGGAUCUCUUGGUUCUG
rnacentral:misc_RNA from 1 species